AAGCUAGUUGUAUUAUUAGUUAAUGCAAGAUCGACUACGUCGACUAAAGUUCUAGGUAGAAUAAUGAUGAUGACAAUUUUUUACCUAUAUGUCUUGACCAAGUCUCGUGCCAGCAGUCGCGGUAAUACGUGGAAGACUAGUGUUAUUCAUCUUUAUUAGGUUUAAAGGGUACCUAGACGGUAUUUCUAGCCCAAAAUAGGGUACGGAUUUACUAGAGUUUUAUGUGAGGAGGGGAGUACUCAUGGAGUAGAGAUGAAAUUUUGUUAUACUAUGAGGUAACUGGUGGCGGCGAAAGCAACCUUCUAUGUAUAAACUGACGUUGAGGGACGAAGGCUUGGGUAGCAAAUAGGAUUAGAUACCCUAGUAGUCCAAGCAGACAAUUCUGAAUGCCAUAGAUUAGAUUAUUUUUGGUCUAUAAAUGAAAGUGUAAGCAUUCCACCUUAGGAGUAAUGUGGCAACACAGGAACUGAAAUCAUUAGACCGUUUCUGAAACCAGUAGUGAAGUAUGUUAUUUAAAUUGAUGGUCCACAAAAAACCUUACCACAACUUGAAUAUUUUUUAAUUAAUACAAGCGUUGCACGGCUGUCUUCAGUUAAUGUCGUGAGAUUUUGGUUAACUCCAUUAAUUAACGUAAACCCUUACUUUA
rnacentral:rRNA from 1 species